rnacentral:rRNA from 1 species
AAUCAACGCUGGCGGCGUGCCUCAGACAUGCAAGUCGAACGAUUAAACUUUCCUUCGGGAAAGAUAUAAAGUGGCGCACGGGUGAGUAACACGUAAGUAAUCUACCUUCGAGUGGGGAAUAACGUCGGGAAACCGACGCUAAUACCGCAUAAUGCAGCGGCAUCUAAUGAUGACAGUUGUUAAAGAUUUAUCGCUUGAAGAGGAGCUUGCGGCAGAUUAGCAGUUGGUAAGGUAAUGGCUUACCAAGGCUACGAUCUGUAACCGGUCUAAGAGGACGGUCGGUCACACUGACACUGAAUAACGGGUUAGACUCCUACGGGAGGCAGCAGUCGGGAAUUUUGGGCAAUGGGCGAAAGCCUGA